rnacentral:misc_RNA from 1 species
UCACCCCUCAAGCCCCUGUGCUUGGUGUUGGACGGCUUCGGUCGAAUAACGUCGACCCCUCCUAAAGACAAUGACGGCGGCCUGUGGAACCCCCGGUACACUGAGCUUUUAACCGAGCACGUACCGGAUGAGGGUGCCCAGGACACGGUCCUUCCUCCCUUCAGUGGGAAAGUUUUCUAAGG